rnacentral:lncRNA from 1 species
GUAAGUCAACAACAUCCUGGGACUGGGACACACUUUCUGGGCACUGCUGGCCAGUCCCAAAAUGGAACAUAAGGAAGUGGUUCUUCUACUUCUUUUAUUUCUGAAAUCAGGUCAAGGAGAGCCUCUGGAUGACUAUGUAAAUGCCCAGGGGGCUUCACUGUUCAGUGUCACUAAGAAGCAGCUGGGGGCAGGAAGCAGAGAAGAAUGUGCAGCAAAAUGUGAGGAGGACAAAGAAUUCACCUGCAGUGUAUCUUUCAGAGUGCAAGACUGGGAAUGGAAAGAACUACAGAGGGACGAUGUCCAAAACAAAAAAUGGCAUCACCUGUCAAAAAUGGAGUUCCACUUCUCCCCGCAGACCUAGAUUCUCACCUGCUACACACCCCUCAGAGGGACUGGAGGAAUCCAGACAACGAUGCGCAGGGGCCCUGGUGUUAUACUACUGAUCCAGAACAGAGAUAUGACUACUGCGACAUUCCUGAGUGUGAAGGGCAGGAGUGGCUCUAGAAAAUGUUUUCAUUUCUGCUCUUCACCUGUAAAAUAAUUUGUUGUAAAGCCCCUUCCCACAGGGAUAUUAUUAAUAAUUGCGUAACGUGUUCACCUCUCGGAAAGGAGCAAAACUUUGCUCAGAUCCCAGAAUUAACCUGAUUUUUUUUUUUUUUUCUGAGACAGAAUUUUGCUCUCAUUGCCCAGGCUAGAGUGCAAUGGUGCGAUCUCGGCUCACCACAACCUCCGCCUCCGGGUUCAAGCGAUUCUCCUACCUCAGCCUCCCAAGUAGCUGGAAUUACAUGCAUGUGCCACCAUGCCUGGCUAAUUUUACAUUUUUAGUAGAGACAGGGUUUCUCCAUGUUGGUCAGGCUGGUCUUGAACUCUCGACCUCAGGUGAGCCGCCCGCCUCAGCCUCCCAAAGUGCUGGGAUUACAGGCGUGAGCCACCAUGCCCAGCAGACCUGAAUUAUUAUUAUUAUUAAAAUGUUACAUCAACAUGUACAAAUAUAAAACUACAUCUAAACUCUAAGUACAAACUUCUUAUGCUUAAAACUCUUACACAGUGUUAACCCCAAGACAGAUUUGCAAUUAAGUAGUUAAAAUAAAACAACAAAGUCAAUAAAAAUCAAAUAAACAAUAUACAUUUAA